CUACGGGUUGCUCCAGUGAGGAAUAUUGCACAAUGGGGGGAACCCUGAUGCAGCAACGCCGCGUGGAGGAUGACGCAUUUCGGUGUGUAAACUCCUUUUAUAUGUCAAGAAAAUGACGGUAGCAUAUGAAUAAGCACCGGCUAACUCCGUGCCAGCAGCCGCGGUAAUACGGAGGGUGCAAGCGUUACUCGGAAACACUGGGCGUAAAGGACGCGUAGGCGGGCUUGUAAGUCAGGUGUGAAAUCCUACAGCUUAACUGUAGAACUGCACUUGAAACUACGAGCCUAGAGUAUGGGAGGGGGAGAUGGAAUUAGUGGUGUAGGGGUAAAAUCCGUAGAUAUCACUAGGAAUACCUAAAGCGAAGGCGAUCUCCUGGAACAUAACUGACGCUAAGGCGUGAAAGCGUGGGGAGCAAACAGGAUUAGAUACCCGUGUAGUC
rnacentral:rRNA from 1 species